GGCUCGAUGGCGUAACUGUAACGCAUCCUGCUAUGGUUCUUGCAUAAGCGCGUCUUUUGCAGGAAGUCCAGAGUUCAAUCCUCCGUCGAGUCA